UUUCUGUUCAUUUUAAGCAGCAAAAGUGAGGUGCAUGUCUGUGUGCGUGCCAUUGGGUGCAGUCACUAUAGCAACCAGGCUCACACCUGCCUGCUUAACGAGCUCUCUCUCACUCUGCCAAGGUUAAACCUAAAAAUGUCUGCUGCAUCUAAGCAGUUGUAGUAAGAUUAACUUUUUCAAUAGGUACAAUAAGACAGUUUUGACAGGGGUCAGUAGUUAGUAUAUGCCAACUAAGUAGAGCAUUGUGAUUGGCACAUAGGUUUUUCAGAUCUGGGCAGUUGGAGUCAGUUGAUGACUUUAAAAUCAUCCUUUCUGACUGGAUAAUUAAAGCUUACAGCAUCUACCUGUCUGUAGUUGAUUUUCCCACAUUUUAACUAACGUUUAACUAAUCUAAUCUCCUUUAUUGUCUGUGUUUAUAGUCUGUAUAGUUUAUCUCCCCACUAACAAACUUAAAGUAGUCUUAAAAUAAAACCCACAAAACAGUUCAAAAUGAAAUACUUUUUAUUUGCUCAUGUAAUGCCAGUUGCCAUAUUUUUCUGUAUGUCACUCAUUCGCUUAUACAAAAAGUACCAAUUUGUACACUAGUCUAGUGGAUUUUUUCCCUCUAUCUCUCUAUGUCUCUUACACACAGAGACUAACACAGACAUGUAUAUGCUCAUUAUUGCUGUUCAAACUGAUGUUCAAAUUUCCAAGCACCACCUGAACGCCUCAUUUAUUUUUAACCCAUCACUGGACCAACUGUCAUCAUUCCGCUUUGCUCUCUGCUGUGGAACUUGACUGACAUCUGUGCUUUGCCUGUGUGCAGAAGAACAAGGACCAGAUCUCCAGUCUUCUCUGUCACAUCCCAACCCCCCAUCCCU